CCUGUCGUCACAUUCAGCAAGAACAUCUUCCUUUGUCUUAGCCAGUUCUAGGCCAUUGGUUCUCAGCUGUGGUUGGACAACAGUAUUCCCGUUGGAGCUUGGAAAAAAUCUUACUGCCCAGUUUCGCUUAUGAUGUUUGGGCCCCUAGAUACAUUAUGACAUAUGAAGAGUCUUCUGAUUGUGAAAUGGAAGAUUUUAUCCUACCUAAAGAAACGUCUGGCCUGUUAUUAUCCUACUCAUCAUUCUUUAC